rfam:Tupaia chinensis contig171245, whole genome shotgun sequence.
AAUUACCCCAGAGGACUGCUUAUAUUGAAAACAGUUGUUUGAACUGUGAUGGCCAAAAAACAUUGGAAGAUAAACAUUCAUCUUGUCGAAAUUUCUUUGGAAAACCCCCU